rnacentral:rRNA from 1 species
CCCAGACUCCUACGGGAGGCAGCAGCGGGGAAUAUUGCACAAUGGGGGAAACCCUGAUGCAGCGACGCCGCGUGAGUGAAGAAGUAUUUCGGUAUGUAAAGCUCUCUCAGCAGGGAAGAUAAUGACGGUACCUGACUAAGAAGCCCCGGCUAACUACGUGCCAGCAGCCGCGGUAAUACGUAGGGGGCAAGCGUUAUCCGGAUUUACUGGGUGUAAAGGGUGCGCAGGUGGCAGGGCAAGUCAGAUGUGAAAGCCCGGGGCUCAACCCCGGUAUUGCAUUUGAAACUGUCCGGCUAGAGUGCAGGAGAGGUAAGCGGAAUUCCUAGUGUAGCGGUGAAAUGCAUAGAUAUUAGGAGGAACACCAGUGGCGAAGGCGGCUUACUGGACUGUAACUGACACUGAGGCACGAAAGCGUGGGGAGCAAACAGGAUUAGAUACCCUCGUAC